AAGAGAGUAUGGUGAAGGGAAUUUCUGCGGGAAUUUUCCCUUGGGACCAGAGGAAGUGCCAAGAAAAGGUGCGUGGCAUCAGGAGUGAAGAUAAACUCUGAGUCUUCCACAGCGGUUAUUACAGACAGAGAGGGAGCCAUCCACCCACUGAGCCUCAGAGAAGGGUGGAGAGAGGGAAGUCUCUGUACUGCUUUUGACAAGAGGACCAAAGUCCUAUUAAAAAGAAUUCAUGGAAACAAAUCUCUUUUAAGCAGUGCCCAACAGAAGAUAUUAAACAAAUGUUUGUAGCAGGAAGAAUUCUCUCCAAUGAUGAUUGAAAAGAAAAGCCACCUAUAUCCUCUUGCUUAGUUUCCCUUGAGAAGAAUAAGCAAAGUGAGCUGUGUAGACUUGUAACCAUGGGACAGAUUUACUGUGUAAUGUUCACAGCUUUGGC